GCUGUCGCUGCAGAAACGCGGGGCGGCCUCUCCCCAUCCCCGUGUAGUUCUCCGGGCUGAACCGUUGGGCGCCUAUUUGCAGAAAAGGCAGCUCCUGAGCCUCAAGACAGACUCGGGGGCCAGGCGUGCGUGAAGCCCUGCUGCCGGCCUCGCAUGCCAAGCCAACUCCGAGCCCCACACCCGCCCGCGGGGAGCUGCCCUCGCCCAGGACCCUCUUGGCCCGCGCGGCCGCGGCCUCUUCUCCACGAUCCCGGCCCCCUGCCCCCUGCCCGGCUGGUUUUAUCGGGGAUCAUAAGGACAGUCACCACCUAACUAGGAGCAAAUCCCCAACAAUCGAGGAAACAGGGCGCUCCUGCCUUGCGCCCCCAGGCUGGCGUUGGGAGUUCUUUAGAGCCAGCGCUGCGGAGCCCCAGCACCCGGAACGUAGAGAGGCUGUGGAAGCAUGGGGCAAAUUGUGCCCGCAGCCUGGGGCCUAGAGCUGCAUCUGUGCACCGGGCCUCCAGGAGCCCGGCUCAGUGGACGAAAUCUGGCAUGCUCGGACGUCACCCCACAGGCCUCACGCCUCAGAGGGACCCCGAAAGGUGAGUUGAUGACUGCAGAGUGAGUUUGUACCUUUUCGAACACCACCUGCCGGGGGUCCGAGCCCCCACCCCCAGUCUACAUCAGCCAAUCACAGCUCAUUGCAGGUGCUGCGCUUGUCACAUAGCUUUCUGCAAACAAGAGAAGCCGACCAAGCCAUGCACGGCUGGAAAAUGGCCCUUAUAAAGCCAUCAAGUCCUAAUCCAGGCAACCUGUAAAUAUUAUCUCGUAUGGGAAAACAAUUUUUUUUUCUAAUGUCGUUAAGGAUCUUGAGAUAGAGAGAUUGUCCUGGAUUAUCCAGGUGGGCCCUAAACACUGUGGCUCACGCCUAUAAUCCCAGCACUUUGGGAGCCUGAGGCAGGUAAAUCUCUUGAGCCCAGGAGUUCGAGACCAGCCUGAGCAACAUGGUGAGACCUCGUCUGUACAAAAGAUAGAAAAAUUAUCUGGGCAUGGUAGUGUGCACCUGUAGUCCCAGCUACUCCUGAGGUGGAAGGAUUGCUUGAGGCCAGGAGGUUGAGGCAGCAGUGAGCCAGGAUCGCACCACUGCCCUCUAGCCUAGGUGACAAAGUGAGACCCUAUCUCAAAAAUAAAUAAAUACAACAGAGACAGGGUCUCUGUGUUGGCCAGGCUGGUCUUGAACUCCUGGCCUCAAGCGAUCCUCCCGCCUUGGCCUCUCAAAGUGCUGGGAUGACAGGCAUGAGCCAGCGUGCCCGGCCACAUGCAUCUUUGUAAGAGGGAGGCAGAAGGAAAUUUGGUGCCACACAGAAGAGAGGGCCACGGGAAGAUGGAGCAGAGAUGAAGAUGGAGCCUUGAAAAUGGACGUGAUGCAGUCACAAGCCAAGUAACGCCGGAGCCACCAGAGGCCCCAGAAACAAGGAGCAGAUUCUCCCCAGGAGCCAUGCGAGGGAGCCUGGCCCUGCCAAUGCCUUGAUUUCAGCACAUUAAAAGUGAUUUUGGACUUCUGGCCUCCAGAGCUGUGAAGGAAUAAACUUCUGCUGUUGUAAAAGCCACUUAGCUGUGGUCAUUUGUUGCAGGAGCCAAUGAGUGACUGACAAGAUCAGAGCUGUGACACAGAGGAAGCAGAGCUGUGCCUCAUGCUUUCCAGGCUCUGCUCAUGAGAAACAGGUCACUGGGUUGGCCCGGUGCAGAUUAAGGUGUCACGUAGGAGCAUGAAUACCUCAGGGAACCACUUAAGAAGUUGCCUAACACAUGGUGCUUAUAAAAGGAAAAGCAAACAAAGCAACUUUGUUCUGAGAGCUGGGACAUCAGAGGAAGAUUGGAGCCACUGUUUCUCACUCAGCCUAUUUCUUUUUAUUUUAUUUAUUUAUUUAUUUUAUAGAGACGGGGAGCUCACUAUGUUGGCCAGUUUGGUCUUUGAACUCCUGGCUUCAAAGGAUCCUCUCACCUAGGCCUCCCAAAGUGCUGGGAUUACAGGAGUGAGCCACCUUGCUGGUCGCGCACCCCAUUUUUUAAGGAAACCUGUACGGAAGGUGGAUUGGAAGUCUCACUUUAGGAGCCUGGCUCAGAAGUUCCGCAACUUCAACUGGUGUCAUGUGACGUGCUUGGCAGUCACCACCCCCAUCCUUACAGCAAAGAAUAGCAGGGCAGCCUUUCAUGGGCCCAUCAGAGAACUAAGGCUGCCAGACAAACUGGCACCCUGCUCUGAAGAGACAGGCACAUCCAGGGAGAGACAGCACCUGAGAGCUGCUCACCCAGAGCAGAAACUCCUGGAUAAACCGGCUUUAGCAGAAAAAUUAGACAACAUGCAAGACCAGAUAGGUGAUGUCAGCAGAAAGAUGGAAACAAUAAUAAAAAAAAAAUGCUAGAAGUCAAAAACACAAUAGAAAUAAAGAAUGCUCAUUAGUUGACUAGACAGAAUGAAGGAAAGAAUCAGUGAAUAUGAAGAUAAGUCAACAGAAACUUCCCAAACUGAAAUUCAAGGAGAAAAGGGGAUGAAAAAAAAAAUCAACUGAUCUAGUUUGAGCGUGUGUCCCCACCAAAUCUCAUGUUGAGUUAUAAUCACCAGUUUUGGAGGUGGGGCUUGGCAGGGGGUGUUUGGAUCAUGGGGGCGGGUUCCUCAUGAAUGGCUUGCACCAUCGCUUCAUCCCCUUGUGAUGAGUAAGCUCUCACUCUGAGUUCAUGUGAGAUCUGUUUUUGUUUUUGUUUUUGUUUUGAGACGGAGUCUCGUUCUGUUGCCCAGACUGGAGUGCAGUAGCACAGCACAGUCUCAGCUUACUGCAACCUCCUGGGUUUAAGUGAUUCUUGUGCCUCAGUCUCCCAAGUAGCUGGGAUUACAGGCUUGCGCCACUAUGCCUGGCUAAUUUAUUGUAUUUUUAGUAGAGAUGGGGUUUCACCAUGUUGACCAGGCUGGUCUCAAACUCCUGACCUCUUGAUCCACCCACCUCGGCCUCCCAAAGUGCUGCAAUUAUAGGCAUGAGCCACGGCGCCCGCCCGAGAUCUGUUUUUCUUUAAAGUGUCUGGCACCUACCCACACCCUCACUCUCUCUCUCUCUUGCUCCUGCUUUUACCAUGUGAAAUGCCUGCUCCCACUUUGCCUUCCGCCAUGAGUAAAAGUUCCCUGAGGCCCCCAAGAAGCUGAGCAGAUGCUGGUGCCAUGCUGGUAUGGCCUGCAAGAACUGUGAGCCAAUUAAACCUCUUCUCUUUAUAAAUUACUCUGUCUCAGGUAUUUCUUUACAGCAAUGCAAGAACAGCCUACUACACCAACAGAAAACACCAUCCAAGAACAACAUCAAAGGAUACGAUUGGUACAAUGGGAGAAUCGGAAGGAGGAAAGAGAAGAAGGGGCAGGAGAAAUGGCGGAAUGGCAAGAAUGUCCCCAAAUUAAUGACAGACACCAAACCAUAGAUCCAGGAAACAUACAGAACAUCCAUCAGGACAAAUAACAAAAAACAUAAAGCAAAACAAAACAAAAAACCACACCUAGGCUUGUCACAUUCAAACUGAAUAAACCUGCCUGACUGAACCCUCGUCCACCAGCCACAGCUACACCUCUGACAAGACAAGAGACAGAUUUCAGUAACUCUCCUGGUAAGAGACCACUGACCAUGGCUGGUCCCGGCUGGUUUACAAACUCUGUGCACCAAGUGCCUUUGAGUCUUAGAAAGACCUUUUGAUGUAUAGGGCCUGACUGUGAUACAUUUAAAUGUUACAUCUCCACCCCAAAGUGAACAUGGGUGAUAUGAUACAUAUGGCCAGACCCCCUUCAUGAAUAUUCAUAGCUCCUCAUGUAACCUGUUAAGUAUGUUUAGCCAACCAAGUCAGCAUAAAGCUCCUGCCCCAUCCUCUCCUCCUCUGAAGGGCCUGUGUCUGGUCUUGUGGGAUGUCUAUCUUGCAAGUUAUUUAAGAAAUAGUCUCCUUUUCUAAAUGCAGUGUUGUGUGAUUUUUUAAGUUAACAAGAGGAAUAUGAAUAAAAAUGACAGUGGACUUCUUGUUAGAAAUCAUGCAGAUAAGAAAAGGGUAGAGUGAAAUCUUUUUUUUUUUUUUUUUUUUUGACAGAGUCUCGCUCUGUUGUCCAGGCUGGAGUGCAGUGGCGCAAUCUCGGCUCACUACAAGCUCCGCCUCCCGGGUUCACGCCAUUCUCCUGUCUCAGCCUCCCGAGUAGCUGGGACUACAGGCGCCCGCCACCACGCCCGGCUAAUUUUUUUGUAUUUUUAGUAGAGACGGGGUUUCACAGUGUUAGCCAGGAUGGUCUCGAUCUCCUGACCUCGUGAUCUGCCUGCCUCGGCCUCCCAAAGUGCUGGGAUUACAGGCGUGAGCCACUGCGCCUGGCCGUGAAAUCCUUAAAGUGUUGCAGUUGAAAAAAAAAAAAUCUGCCCACCUAGAAUUCCAUAUAGCAAAAGUAUCCUUAAGGUGCAGGAAAAAUAAAGACUUUUUCAGAAAAACAAAAACUGAGGGAAUGUAUUGCCGGUAGACCUGCCCUGUGAGAAAUGUUAGAGAAGAGACAAGGAAGAUGAUACAGGUCAGAAGCUUAGAUCUACAUCAGGAAAGGAAAAGCAUCAGAGGCAGAAUAAAUGAAGAGAAUUAAUGUCUCUCAUUUUUCUUUUUUUUCUUUUUUUUUUUUUUUUUUGAGACAGAGUUUUGCUCUUGUUGCCCAGGAUGGAGUGCAAUGGCGCAAUCUCAGCUCACUGCAACCUCCGCCUCCCAGGUUCAAGCAAUUCUGCCUCAGCUUCCUGAGUAGCUUGGCUUACAAGGACAUGCCACCAUGCCCAGCUAAUUUUUUUUUUUUUUUUUUUUUUUUUUUUUUUGAGACAGAGUCUCGCUCUGUCACCCAGGCUGGAGUGCAGUGGUGCAAUAUCAGCUAACUGCAAGCUCCGCCUCCCAGGUUCACGCCAUUCUCCUGCCUCAGCCUCUCAGGUGCUGGAACUACAGGCGCCUGCCACCACACCCAGCUAAUUUUUGUAUUUUUAGUAGAGAUGGGAUUUCACUGUGUUAGCCAGGAUGGUCUCGAUCUCCUGACCUCGUGACCUGCCCACCUUGGCCUCCCAAAGUGCUGGGAUUACAGGCGUGAGCCACCGUGCCCGGCCUAUAAUUUUUUGUAUUUUUAGUAGAGACGGGGUUUCGCCAUGUUCGCCCGGCUGGUCUCGAACUCCUGUUCUCAGGUAAUCCACCCAUCUCAGUCUCGCAGAGUGCUGGGAUUAUACACGUGAACCACCUCGUUAUUCUUUUUUUUUUUUUGAGGCGGAGUCUUGCUCUGUUGCCCAGGCUGGAGUGCAGUGGCGCGAUCUCAGCUCACUGCAAGCUCCGCCUCCCGGGUUCAGGCCAUUCUUCUGCCUCAGCCUCCCGAGUAGCUGGGACUACAGGCGCCCACCACCAUGCCCAGCUAAUCUUUUGUAUUUUUAGUAGAGACGGGGUUUCACUGUGUUAGCCAGGAUGGUCUUGAUCUCCUGACCUCAUGAUCCGCCCGCCUCGGCCUCCCAAAGUGCUGGGAUUACAGGUGUGAGCCACCGCGCCCGGCCAACCUCGUUAUUCUUAAUUGAUCUAAAGACAACUGUUAAAAGCCAUAAAGUAACAAUGUACUGGGUGAUUACAGCUUGUGGACAAAAUGUCACAAGGGACAGUAGGAGGAGCUGGGACUUUUCUGAUGUAAAAUACUUCCAUUGUGCUGCCCUCCCUACCACAGGUCUAAAGCUAUAUUCCACAGCUUAAGCCACUCGGUCACACACCGAAACCCCUGGGCAGCUUUAAAACCACAAAUGCUCAAGUGCCCGGGCCCACCCGCAGAGCACUGAUAAAGGGGACUGUGCCAGUCAGGGAAGCCUUCUAAGCCUUCCCCAGAAGUUCUGAUGUGUAGCCAUAUUUGAGAGCCACUGUUUUAAAAUUCACACCCACAAAAGCUGCAUGGUACAGGAGGUCCUCAUUACCCACAAUCAUGACUUCUUGGAAAGACCACUUACUCAAACAGGACCAGAAUUGCAUAGUAAAUAAUUAAUGGGAUUAGAAAAUAGUUGGUUGAUACUGCAUUAACAAUGAAAAUUAAACUUAUGAAAAUAUUGCAAUUAUUUUAGAAUCAAUAAAACAGAGCGGGCCAGGUGCGGUAGCUCACUCCUAUAAUCCCAAGACUUUGGGAGGCUCAGGUGGGUGGAUCCCUUGAGCUCAGGAGUUCAAGACCAGCCUGGUCAACAUAGCGAGACCCCCCCCCAUCUCUACUAAAAAUACAAAAAUUAGUGGGGUACAGUGGUGUGCAUCUGUAGUCCCGGCUACUCAGGGGUCUGAGGUGGGAGGAUCACCUGAGCCCAGGAGGUCAAGGCUGCAGUGAGUUGUAAUUGUGCCAUUGCACUCCAGCCUGGGCAACAGAGCAAGACCCUGUCUCAAAAAAAGAAAGGAGCAACAGUCUCUACUCAGAUCUGUAUACCCAAAUCUAUACCCAAAAGAACUCCUUUUAUAUAAUUUUUAAAUAAAACUUUUCAAACACAAAAGAGAGUAACAUAAUGAAAGGCAUGUAUCCAUCAACCAGCAUCAAUAAUUAUAAAAGAGCUCUUUUAAUGAGUAUAAAAUAAGAACUGAACUUAACGUUUAAUUGGCAGCGUUUCUCCCUUUCUGAUAAUAACAGUGCACCCUAAAAUCAGCAGCGUCUUAGAUUUAGGGCCUCAGAAACAAGGCCAUCCACACUGGAUCCGAGGGGCAACUGGGCACCUCCAUGGGCACCCAUGCUUCAUAAAGACAGCUGCACCCUACACUUGGUUGGACUGGGACGUUUUCAGCUAUCCAAAAUAAAACUUCGGUUUUCUAAUUUAAAGCUUUGUUUCAUGUCUACAUUCUGCUCUUGUAGUCUGCAUCUUCGCUCGCGUAAUUAGCUAUUUCAGUCUUACCCAGACUGUUUUCUUCCCAAUUGUCUGUCCUCACACCAGGGAAACACUGGCUAAUUUCUGUAACUUCAGAAUACACAUUAAUAUUCUUUAAUAUUUAGAUUCCCAUGGUCAAUUAUUCAUCCUGGGCUAGUACUCGGCAGUUUCUCUUUUGUCAGUUCAUGCGCCACCCAGGCAGCAUAUGCUGAGGAAGGCACAAUUUCUAUAUUUAUCCUAAGCCAAACAUGAGCAGGAAAACUGAGAGCUAUUCUAAACAUAAUUUUAUCGGGUCAAAAAGAAACAACUGCUAGGCCGAUCUGGCCGAUGACUCCUCCAGUAGCUGUGAAAUCGAGAAUGCACGUCAUUUUCUUGCUGUGCUCCUAAGGUAGAGGAGACCACUUUGAAGACCUGCAGUCCAUAUUGGCAUUGUAGAAUUUGAGCAGAGGGCCAUUUUGUUCUGUACUAAGAAAAAUUCUUCCGCCUUGAGAUGCUGUUAAUCUGUAACCCUACCCCCAACCCUGUGCUCCCUGAAACACGUGCUGUGUCAACUCAGGGUUAAAUGGAUUAAGGGCUGUGCAGGGUGUGCUUUGUUAAACAAAUGCUUGAAGGCAGCAUGCUCGUUAAGAGUCAUCACCACUCCCUAACCUCAAACCACUCCCUAAUCUCAAGUACUCAGAGACACAAAACACUGCGGAAGGCUGCAGGGACCUCUGCCUGGGAAAGCCAGGUAUUGUCCAAGGUUUCUCCCCAUGUGAUAGUCUGAAAUAUGGCCUCGUGGGAAGGGAAAGACCUGACCGUCCCCCAGCCCGACACCCGUAAAGGGUCUGUGCUGAGGAGGAUUAGUAAAAGAGGAAGGCAUGCCUCUUUGAGGUUGAGAUAAGAGGAAGGCUUCUGUCUCCUGCUCGUCCCUGGGCAAUGGAAUGUCUCGGUGUAAAGCCGAUUGUAUAUUCCAUCUACUGAGAUAGGGCUGGAGGUGGGACAUGCUGGCAGCAAUACUGCUCCUUAAGGCAUUGAGAUGUUUAUGUAUAUGCACAUCAAAAGCACAGCACUUUUUUCUUUACCUUGUUUAUGAUGCGGAGACAUUUGUUCACGUAUUUACCUUCUGACCUUCUCUCCACUAUUAUCCUAUUAUCCUGCUGCCACGCCCGAUAAUGAUCAAUAAAUACUAAGGGAACUCAGAGGCCGGUGCCAGUGUGGAUCCGUGUGCUGAACGCCGGUCCCCUGGGCCCCCUUUUUGUUUAUA